UGCUAGAAGAUGGCGACCGGCGCACGGGUGAGUAACGCGUAUGCAACCUACCUUUCACAGGGGGAUAGCCCAAAGAAAUUUGGAUUAACACCGCAUAAUAUGAUUGAUUCGCAUGGAUUAAUUAUUAAAUCUUCGGAGGUGAAAGAUGGGCAUGCGUAGCAUUAGUUAGUUGGUGAGGUAAUGGCUCACCAAGACGAUGAUGCUUAGGGGGUCUGAGAGGAUAGUCCCCCACACUGGUACUGAGACACGGACCAGACUCCUACGGGAGGCAGCAGUGAGGAAUAUUGGUCAAUGGACGCAAGUCUGAACCAGCCAUGUCGCGUGCAGGAUGACGGCCCUAUGGGUUGUAAACUGCUUUUUUACAGGAAUAAACGUUGCUACGUGUAGUGAUUUGAAUGUACUGUAUGAAUAAGGAUCGGCUAACUCCGUGCCAGCAGCCGCGGUAAUACGGAGGAUUCGAGCGUUAUCCGGAUUUAUUGGGUUUAAAGGGUCCGUAGGCGGUUCUUUAAGUCAGUGGUGAAAUCCCAGAGCUCAACUCUGGAACUGCCAUU
rnacentral:rRNA from 1 species